rnacentral:tRNA from 1 species
GAGGGUCUAGCUCAGUGGUAGAGCACACGCUUAGCAUGCACGAGGUCCUGGGUUCAAUCCCCAGUCCCUCC